AUGAGAAAGUGGGCAGAUCGGCUCUAUUCACAGCUGGGGGAAACUGACCACUUUAACAAAAGGAAGAAUGCUCAGCACAGAAGAAGCCUUGCUGAACACCUCCCGAGCAGAUGGCAUCAGAGAGAAGCUGGAUGUUUUUCCUCAAAUGGAUUAAGAAAGCAGAAGCUUCUGCCAGGGAGAGGAGAAACAGGGUCAGAGAGCCACCUCAUUCUGUCAUCAAAAGGGUCACUACUGAAAUCUGGAGCACUCACUUGGAGCUCAAGUUUCCCUGCACAAGAGCUGCAUGGCACUAGGACAUUUCUCAUCUGCAACACACACCCAUGCCCACAAACCCUUGUAUACAUAAGCCCACAGCUUGCAUGCGCCCAGCCAUCUGAGUCUGGGACUUUCGUAGGAGUCAAAAUGGAAUUGUGCAACUCCAACCAUGAUGCUGGAUGCUCCUCUCUGCCUCAUCUUGUUUUCCUUCCAAGGUGGGGAAAGUGUGGUGGUCAGUAGAACUGGGGCUUUCUCAUCUUCGGAUGGUCAGGGGCAAAGACCCUGGGUGAGCCGCCCGGCCAUGAGCUGUUCAUUGCAUCUGUCGCAUAACAUUUUUAAAAGACUGUGUGUCUUAUAGAAUCAGGAGCUCAGGCUCGUAUCUGGACAAAUAAGAGAAUGCCUCCCCACGAUAGCCCUCUUCUCUGUAGGCUGUAUCUUUUUCUAAUCACUUUGGCAGGUGAAAGUGUUUUUUUCCUCUAAAUGAGUCAGAUGGGCUGGGAAUGUGUAACUUGGAAAAGAAGAUGCUCUCAUACCUGUACAUAAAGAAGACAGACUGCCAGUUACCUCAGCCUUACCACCUGUGCUGGGCACCCGUUCAGAGCUCCUGAAUGAUUCCAUUAGUGGGGAAUUAUUAGUUGAUAGGUAUGAAUUAGUUAACUAAUAAAACUCUAUGCUAUGCCAGCCAAAGACUAAUUAAUAGUGUCUCAAAAGACAUGUAUUUUGCUCAUUUUUAAAUUUUUGUGCAGGUGGGGUCCUUUUCAACUCUGACCCGAGUUAGAAGUUAUUUUUCUCACCUAAAUGCUCAGAAUAUAAAUCUCAGCCUCAAGAGAAUGUGAGCAACAGAUGAGACACAAACAGACCCAAGAAAGAGAAAAAAGGAGAGAGCUAGAAAACCGAAUCAAGAGGCAAAAAACAGACAUUUUGCAGAGAGCAUUAAGGGCAAACCAGUAUUUCAAUGUCAUUGAAGGUAACACUACUUAAAACAGAGCUAUGAGCUACUAUAACUACAGGGACUGGAAGUCUCUGUAAUUAGUAAAUAUGUUGCAUGCAUCACCCCAACAUAGAAUCACCUGAGAUAAGUAGGGGGAUGAGAUACUAAAGAUCAACAGAGCCUGAAUUUUGAAUGAGGGGAACUCUGAACUAGGCAAGAUCGGAGAUUAUUGCACAGGACACAAUGCUUAAAGUCCAGCCAACCUUGUGAAAAAGAACAGAAGGUUAACACUAGAACUUUCGUAAAAAUAUCUUAGGUUUUUUUCAAUUAAUCCUUUUGUUAUCUUGGUAAAAAGUGGGGAGGAGGCCGGGUGCAGUGGCUCACAUCUUAACCCUAGCACUUUGGGAGGUCGAGGCAGGAGGAUCAUUUGAGGUCAGGAGUUCAAGACCAGCCUGGCCAACAUGGCAAAACCCCGUCUCUACUAAAAAUACAAAAAAAUUAGCUAGGCGUGGUAGCAUGUGCCUGUAAUCCCAGCUACUCGGGAGGCUGAAGCAGGAGAAUCACUUGAACCAGGGAGACAGAGAUUGCAGUGAUCCGAGAUCGUGCCACUGCACUCCAGCCUGGGUGACAGAGCAAGACUCAGUCUUGAAAAAAACAGUGAGGAGGAACAACUUUAGUAAUUGUUAUGAUCAAUAUCUGGACUAGGUGUGUCUCAUUGGCAACUGCAGAUAAUGAUAUCAUAAACCAUCCACUGAGUAUCAUAAUACGCUGGUCACUGUGCAGGAUGCUUUAAAAAUAUUGAAGUGGAUCUUCUCAGCAUCAUGUGACAUAGGCAUGAUGACUUCCAUCUUACAGAACGGUACACUGGGGCUCAGAGAGAAGAUGUGAUUCACUAUUGUAAACAAAAUACAGAAAAAUGCAAAGGAAAAAAAUGCCCCUGUAAUAAUAUACCUGAUGUUUUCUGAUAACUUUUUCUGUACUUGUAUUAUCAAAUGUCAACAAAAUUGAAAUGCUUCAUCCAGCAUCUUGUGCCCUGCUUUUUCACUGUUUCCUUCCAUCAUUAAAUAUUCUUUGAGAAAAUCUUUUUUUUCUUUUGAGAUGGAGUCUCGCUCUGUUGCCCAGGCUGGAGUGCAGAGGCACGAUCUCAGCUCACUGCAACCUCUGCCUCCCAAUUUAAAGCAAUUCUCCCGCCUCAGCCUCCUGAGUAGCUGGGACUACAGGUGCAUGCCACCACCCUUUGCUAAUUUUUUCUAUUUUUAGUAGAGACGAGGUUUCACCAUGUUCACCAGGAUGGUCUCAAUCUCCUGACCUCGUGAUCUGCCCGCCUUGGCCUCCCAAAGUGCUGGAAUUACAGGCGUGAGCCACCGUGCCCAGCCCUGAGAAAACCAUUUUUAAUGAAUAAAUUGUUUUCCAUUCUUUAGUUGUAUCAUCAGUAAUUUAACCAACCUCCUAUGUGGGACAUUUGGGUAGCUUCUAAUAUUUUUUCCAUUACACUAAUGGCUGAGAUGAAUAUUCUCGAACAUAAAUCUUGUACAUAAAUUUGAUUAUUGCCUAGGAUAAAGUCUUAAAACUAAAAUUACUGGCUCAAAGUGUAUGAACACUUCAAGGCUGUUCAUACAUAAAUUGCCAAAUAACCCUCCAGAAAGUUUGCACCAAUGUAUAUCCCCAUCAGCAGCAGUGGGUGAGGGGUGAGAACACCCAUUUCUCCACAUCCUCUGCAGUAAAUUUCCACCAAUGAGAUAAGCAAAAACUUUCCAUGCUUAUAACUUGCAUUUCUUUGAUGGCUGUGGGGUCCAUGUCUUUCCUUGUUUGUUGGGCAUCAGCUCCGGCUCUAUUGUGAAUGUCCUAUCAUGUUCUUCCUGUUUGUCCAUCACUAUGAUUGGGGAUGCUGGAAUUUAGGACCCCAAGGAGGCUCUGCCUGACCUUUUCAGCACUUAGCGUUGUUCCACUUGUGGUGAGGAUGAGGCAGAGUUCAUUCUCCAUGAAAGAAAGACAGUUGCUUCCUCGAUACUUAGCAAACGUCAUUCCUAUCAGCAACUGACCUGAAGCUGGAGGCAGUGGCUAAUCCAUUGAAUCAUGGUGGCGCUGUGGGCAUUGUCAGGUCCCUAGUUUAGAAAUGCACCAGGAGCCAGGGCUGGAACUUUAGGACUACAGGAUUCUGCAAAACGUGUGAUGUCUCAGAGACAUGACCUUCCUCCUGCCUCCACUUGAGGACUGAAUCAGGCUGUGUUGCAUGGAGCACAGCUGCGCCUCUGUUCUCCCAGGACGGGGCCUGAAAGCCCAGCAUGGUAGCAGAGUCCCUGCAGCUGGUGAAGAUGCCCUCUGGGUGACCCUGAGGCACAGUAGGAGGAGAGAAGGGUGGCAGUCCUCACACUUCUGGAGAGGGAGCAGUUCUCCUGGAAACGCUGCAGCAGCCCCCGGAGGAAUGAACACAAACCACACAGCCGCCUGCCAUGAACUUGAUCUCAGUGGUUGGAAUUCAUCCCUCUUUUCUGCAAUUCCUCCACCUUUGCCUUUUCCAUGCCUUUCUCCAUUGGGAAGCAGUCUGGUCUAGCUUGAAAGUCAGUGGACCAAGUUUGGAGCAUCCAGGACAGGUUAAACCCCUUUUAGCUGUUAUGAGUGAAUGAACAAUGACACAGCUCCUUUCUAGUAUUUUUCAUGGUAUUUUGAAACAAUGUAUGCAGCUGCUUCCUUCAUACAACCACAGACUCUUGUUUUGUUUGUUUGUUUGUUUGUUUGUUUGUUUGAGACAGGGUCUCGCUCUGUUGCCCCAGCUGGAAUGCUGUGGCACGAUCUUGGCUCACUGCAACUUCUGCCUCCCAGUUUCAAGCAAUUCCCCUGCCUCAGCCUCCUGAGUAGCUGAGUACAGGUGCACCCCACCACACAACUGCAGACUCUUUGAAAACAUUUAUGCCACCCCUUGUAUGCCUGGCACAUAGUAGGAUAAAUGCUUCUUGAAGGCAUGAAUGAGCCAAAGCAUAUUUCCACCACAGAAACCCUUACUUGAGCUCAUCUUUGUAGCAGCUCUUCCCUUAGGAGCCAUGUAGAAUGCAGCAGGACUCUCAACCAUUCCCCAUUGCCACUCGUGCUAGACGGAGCAUUCCUCAUCACAUUGCUCUGCGUGGGCCGGGGGCGGCCAGAUUAACGCUGUGUGACAGCUGCCCCCCCCCACCCCAGGACUCGCAGAAUAGCGAAAUGUCUGUCUCCCCAGCUUGAUGCUGCUGGGAACAACACUUCCCGGAAAAGGAGAAAGAUCUAACUAGUGUAUACCUGUGUACACCUUUGUUUAUGUUAUACAGAUAAUGACAAGCUCUGUUGGAACAAAGUCACCUUAAAUUCACACAACUCUUGGUGCCAGACCCUGACAGCAGCUGAAGUGGGUGUUUGCAAUAGUCACCUGCCUCAAACCAAACCCUAGUCUGAAUCAGAAAUACAUUCUGUAGCAAGAAAUAGGUUGUUGUCACACUUUAAUUGCGUGUUUUGUUGAGGGAGUGGGUAGCGCCCCAGAGCUUAAGUACUCUGGGAAGAAGCCCCACAGCACCCGUGGAGCAGAACAGAGGGCAGGUGGCUGGUGGGUCUCUGGGGCAGGACCUCCAGUGCUCAUCCCCACCGGCAGCAAAGCGGUCUCCAAUCAGUGGGACAGAGACCUCAGCCUCCCAGUGUGCUCCAGCACUUCUGGACACCCAGAGAGCUCUAGCCUUACUGAAUAAUUG
ensembl:lincRNA